ensembl:snRNA U2 U2 spliceosomal RNA
AUAUAUUUUGUAUAAAAAAAAAAAAAAAAAAAAAAAAAAAAAAAAUCUGUUCUUAUCAGUUUAAUAUCUGAUACGUCCCCCAUAGGGGGACUACAUAUUAAAUGGAUUUUUCGAACAGGGAGUCGGAAAUGGGGCUUGCUCCGUCCGCUCCACGCAUCGACCCGGUAUUGCAGUACCUCCGGGAAUGGUGCAACACUU